CCUACGGGUGGCAGCAGUGGGGAAUAUUGCACAAUGGGGGAAACCCUGAUGCAGCGACGCCGCGUGCGUGAAGAAGUACUUCGGUAUGUAAAGCUCUAUCAGCGGGGAAGAAAAUGACGGUACCUGAGUAAGCAGCCCCGGCUAACUCCGUGCCAGCAACCGCGGGAAUACGUAGGGGGCAAGCGUUAUCCGGAUUUAAUGGGUGUAAAGGGAGCGUAGACGGCAGUGCAAGUCUGGAGUGAAAGGCGGGGGCUCAACCCCCGGACUGCUCUGGAAACUGUACGGCUGGAGUGCAGGAGAGGUAAGUGGAAUUCCUGGUGUAGCGGUGAAAUGCGUAGAGAUCAGGAGGAACACCAGUGGCGAAGGCGGCUUACUGGACUGUAACUGACGUUGAGGCUCGAAAGCGUGGGGAGCAAACAGGAUUAGAUACCCGUGUAGUC
rnacentral:rRNA from 1 species